UUUUGAUGGAACAGCCUGUACUGGUCUUAUUUUUUCAUAUAACCUGCUGGUUGUUUCCAAGAGAUUAUUGAGGGAGUGUAUAUGAUUGUACUUUCCUUUAUGUGGGAAUAACCCGUUUCUCGAUGAUGGCGUUGUUGAACAGAUCAGAUGACCCCAGACACAUGGUAGGAGCUGAGUCCACAGGUGUUCUCCAUCAGCCUCAUCAGGAGAGGAGCUUAAGUACCCAUCGUUGCCAACACUCCGGUGCCUGAGUGUUAACCUGCAGUGGUUACCUCCAGUUCCGAGCUUCUUAUCCAGUCUGCGUAUGCAGAAAAUCCAGACUCUCUCUCCACAAGAGAACUUCACGGAUUAUCUUCUCAGUUGGCUACAUUCGGCUUUCAAGUCUCCUCUCGCUACCUGUGAACGAACCUGGCUCACCCUCCACCGUGCUCCCCUCCAAGAUCAUCCACCUGGUGCCACCUCCACCUCAAGUGCAAGUAAAACAGAAUUACCUGGGCCUUUCACUUAUCCGUCACUUCUCCUCCCCCCCUGGCGGAUCUCCUAAUCACCCUUUGUAAGCAAAAAAUAUAUCAAGAUCAACAACCCAGAGUAUUACCUGUCCCUUACCAUUGAUCCCUUCUCCAUACAGUGGCGAGUUCCUGUUUCUCCAGCAAACAAAAUAUUUCUUAAUGAACUUGUUAAAACUUUUCCUGUUUUCCUGAGUGUAUUUCUGCAUGUGGGUCAAAGCAACUAGAAAAACGAUGACAUAAAAUUUUAAUUUAUUAAUAAAGGACAAUUAAAAAGUCAACAUCUCAGGUAUUAUUAUUAUUAUUACGUACAGUCCCUUGAAAGAGAGAGGAUGAGCUAACCAUAACACGCAUAAAGACUCAUCUACAUAUAUAGUCCUCAGCUGUUUCUACUAAAACAUGGGCAGCAUGUGCUAAGCAGGAUCGACAGAAGUCCUGAGUUGCUGAUGUAAUCCAGAAAGAGUCCCAAGGUUUUGAGGAAUUAAACUGGUCAUCCUGUAAGUUUGGAUGUCACAUCAGUUCCAUCCAAUGCUUAAGAUGAUGGUGCUUUUGUUUGAUAUUUUCUAACAAUGAUUUUGCAUCCUGUAGCAUGUUAUGUUGGAACACUUGCUUCAAC